rnacentral:rRNA from 1 species
UACGAAGGGUGCUAGCGUUGUUCGGAAUUACGGGGCGUAAAGCGCACGUAGGCGGGUCGUUAAGUCAGGGGUGAAAUCCCAGAGCUCAACUCUGGAACUGCCUUUGAUACUGGCGACCUAGAGUUCGGAAGAGGUUAGUGGAAUUCCCAGUGUAGAGGUGAAAUUCGUAGAUAUUGGGAAGAACACCAGUGGCGAAGGCGGCUAACUGGUCCGAUACUGACGCUGAGGUGCGAAAGCGUGGGGAGCAAACAGG